CCUGCAAAGGUGAUGUAUUAUGAAAGUUACUGUUCCUUGAGAACUUGGAACUCUACAAAGUGAACAAAAAGAAGAAAACCCAAAAUCCAACAUCACAGCUGCUAACUUGGGUCUUUGAAGAGAACCUUACCAUUGAACUGAUUUCAGCACAGAUGGACAAAGACAGGACCAUGGAUUAGCUUCAUGGCUCUACCCUAGGAGGGUUUUACCGAUGUUAGACUGCUUAGCCUCACUAAAAAUAGCUUGUGAAACUUCUCAGGUGAACUUCAGCCUUGUAUAAGCACAGUGGCUAUCACGCUUCAUACCAUACUCUCUCCCAACUAUGUAAACACUAUUUAAAAUCAAGUGCUGCAACAACAACAACAAAAAAGUUAAAGAUGGACAAAAAAUCAAAGAAUCAUUGAGGUUGGAAAAGACCUCCAAGAUCAUCAAGUCCAACCUUUGAUUGAUCACGACCAUGUCAACUAGACCACAGCACUGUCAUGUCCAGUUGUUCCUUGAACACCGCCAUGGAUAAUGACUCCACCACCUUUCUGGGUAGCCUGAUCCAAUGUUCAAUCAGCCUUUCUUGAAGAAAUUUUUCCUGAUAUCCAGCCUGAACUUCCCUGGUGCAGCUUGAGGCCAUGUCCUCUUGUCCUGUCACUGGUUGGUUCAGGCACUUCUAGACAGUGAUAAGGUCUCCCCUGAACCUCCUUUUUUCCAGGCUAAACAACAGCAGCUCCCUCAGCUGCUCCUCAACUUCAGCUAAACCAGCUCUCUGGUCUAGCUCACUUUAUGACUUUGAUGACUGGUGGUACUACAGAGAUUUAACAGAAGGAAGAAGAGGUAUUAAUGUUCAUCUUCAGUGCCAGCACUUCCAAGUGUCUAAGCUCAUGGCUUCCACAGCACAUACAACUAGGAUGUAACAGUUGUCUGUCACACUCACCUGUGGCUUACUAUGCACAUUAAAAUGUGCUGGUGAAAAUCAGGGGACCACAUUUACAUGCACAGCACUGGCACAAUACUGCAGAUUAUCUGCUUACCUGCACAUCAUUUCCUCUUUGUCCAUAACUAAUUUGGAGUAACACUUUUCUUUCUUUGCCUCCUAAGAAACACUUAGGUGAAGUACUAUGUGAGCACCGUGCCAGCUCCCUCCAUGUUUUGUAAUGACUAACCUCUUUUCAGUAACAGCCCAUUUUUGUUAAAAUUCUGUAGUAGUUUUCUAAUCUAGUGUUUUUAUUUAAAAAGUCUUCCUUGUGGCAAAGAAAAUAUUGUUUUGAGCCUAGCUGGAGGCUGAACAACAACCUUCCUUGGGUGCCCCAGGAUCAGGAGAUGAUGUCAAGGAAAGUAACCUCUGUCAGCACUUCCCAGCAAUUGCUUCAAACCACCUGUACAGCAAUCUUUUCAAUUUAGUAGCAAUGCCCCAUCAUUGACCUUCCGCUGGCUCCAUUUAUACAGCAUCACAAGCUCUGUCUGGCCACAGUUGCCACCAGAACAUGAUACAAAAUUUGGAUCUUCCUGGUUCUUCUGGAGGGUUGGACCAACAUGUCCUAUUUCUGGUUCCAUUAACAGCCCAUAGCAAGCUGCUGAAAAGUAUGAAUACCAAAAGACACCAAAAACCAGGACUCCAGGACUUCCAUUCUAUACAAUCUAUGACUACAACUAGAAAAUGCCAGAACUUGGUAGCUGUGAACAUUAUGAGACGUCUACCUAGUAAUGAUCACUAUUGAGUACUUCUCAAUUCGUAAUACUUGCAG